rnacentral:rRNA from 1 species
AGCAGCCGCGGUAAUUCCAGCUCCAAUAGCGUAUAUUAAAGUUGUUGCAGUUAAAAAGCUCGUAGUUGAAUUUCGGGAUCAGUACGCUGGUCGUGCCUUUGGUAUGUACUGGUGUCACUGAUUCCUCCCUUCUGAAGAACCGUUAUGCCAUUUAUUUGGUGUGGCGGGAAAUCAGGACUGUUACUUUGAAAAAUUAGAGUGUUUAAAGCAGGCUCGCGCUUGAAUACAUUAGCAUGGAAUAAUGAAAUAGGACGUUUGAUCUUAUUUUGUUGGUUUCUAGGAUCGACGUAAUGAUUAAUAGGGAUAGUUGGGGGCAUUAGUAUUCAAUUGUCAGAGGUGAAAUUCUUGGAUUUAUUGAAGACUAACUACCGCGAAAGCAUUUGCCAAGGAUGUUUUCAUUAAUCAAGAACGAAAGUUAGGGGAUCGAAGACGAUCAGAUACCGUCGUAGUCUUAACCAUAAACUAUGCCG